UGCCACAGCCAUAUCAGCCUGGAGCCCAAGACCGGUUACUCACUGAAGCUAAGCAGGGCUGAGCCUGGUCAGUAGCUGGAUAGGAGACAUCAUGAGAAAACUCGGUCGCUCUUGGAA
ensembl:rRNA 5S_rRNA 5S ribosomal RNA